rnacentral:rRNA from 1 species
UACGUAGGGGGCUAGCGUUGCUCGGAAUUACUGGGCGUAAAGGGUGCGUAGGCGGGUCUUUACGUCAGGGGUGAAAUCCUGGAGCUCAACUCCAGAACUGCCUUUGAUACUGAGGAUCUUGAGUUCGGGAGAGGUGAGUGGAACUGCGAGUGUAGAGGUGAAAUUCGUAGAUAUUCGCAAGAACACCAGUGGCGAAGGUGGCUCACUGGCCCGAUACUGACGCUGAGGCACGAAAGCGUGGGGAGCAAACAGG